ensembl:snRNA U1 U1 spliceosomal RNA
ACACUUACCUGGCAGGGGAGAUACCAUGAUCACGAAGAUGGUUUUCCCAGGGCGAGGCUUAUCCAUUAUACUCCGGAUGUGCUGACCCCUGCGAUCUCCCCAAAUGUGGGAAACUCGACUGCAUAAUUUGUGGUAGUGGGGGAUUGCAUUCAUGCUCUCCCCUG